UUGUGAAAGAAGUAUAUGGUAUGCCCAUUUACUAAUUACUAGUAAGCUGAAGGAUAAGAUACUGUUUAAAGAAUAUUCAGUACUGUUCUGUAUGCAGAUUAGACAAAUUAUCAAAGUGCACUUUAAGAUUCAAGUAUGGAAUGCAGUAAAACAAAUGUUUUAGGUCUUUUAAAGGCUGUCUUCCUUCAAUUUUGUUCCUCAUUUCUUAUAUACCCAUAUCAAAGUACUUUAUACCUUAUACGUUACUUCUGUAUACUGUUUUUGUUUAUAAGGUCAUUUACAGAUUUAACCAUGAACUAAUGAAGAAUUUAUACUGUAAAUCACAUUUUAAAAAAAUAUCUUGAUUUAAAUGUUCUUAACCUGGAGACAGCUCAAUUACUUGAGGAAACAGAGACUAAAACAUUUGAAUUAUCUUCAUUUUAGGAGCACCUUCUGUUUCUACUAAAUGUUUUUAGCUUAAUAUUAUAGCAGUUAGAUUGUGUUCCUUUUAUCACAGAUGUCAUCUUCAAUUUCUUUGUCUACUCUUUCUCUUCUAGGAUGAAACCUCAACCCCUGCUUAGUAGUCUAGCCCAAAUCUGGAAAGUGCCAAACUUCUUAAUGCAAAGUUGAUCUUUACGAAGCAAGUUUAAAACUAACAUGUGCCUGCAGAUAGUACCUUCCAGUAGAAAUGCAGCAGUUCCUUGACUACUAGUCCUUCUGUGCCUCCUUCUCUGCCGUCUUCUCUGUUGCCUGCAAGUAGAAAUAAUUCAGCAGAGUGAAUUCCAGAAGAGGCCUGAUUUGAAAAUAAGGCUCCUGACUGGAUGGAUGACUGUGGCCUGAUGCAGAAAUGGAAUGGCAGACCACAAGGGUUGGGUUGGAUGAGGGCAAAUUCAAGAGCAGUCUUACAUUUUUUGCAUAGGCAAACUUCUAUACCUUUAUGGGAAACUUGACUGUCAGAUUUAUGUUCAAGAAAUACAAUGCUCUCAAUAUUCUAGUUCUAAGAAUCUAAAGCAUAGUUAAUAUAAAUAGGAGUUUAUUUAAUGGCUUAUCAUUCUCUCCUCUCUCCCCCCAAAACAGGUAUAGAAACAAGUUAACUUGAUUGCGUUGCACAAAGUUGUCACUACAUGGUAGUGCAGGUCAUUCUUCAUUGGGUCAAGAGGAGAGCUUUUCAGGAAAACUGCCACAAAGUACUGAAACAUGCUUUCUUUUCAGUUUAUAACUUGUGGCCUUUUUCCACCUCCUUGUGAGAACCCCAAAAUAACAUUUCUUGUUGCAUCAUGUGGUGCUUACCUAUUUAAUUGUUGUAGAAAUGGAUCCUUAAUUCUGCUUUGUGGGUUGCAAACCUUUGCAGUUCAAGAAGGUGGUGAUUCUUUUACUUUUGGUGCACUUCUCUUCUGUGCUUUAGGAAUCUUUAUGAAACGGUCAUGCAUAUACCCAGUUGAGAGGUAGGCCUUGCAGUAUGUCCAGCACGCAAGUCCGUUUUCUGCAAUGUAACCUUUUGCUGGAAAGGAAAAUUCGUUAGAAGCUUCCCCAUCCCGUUGAGAACAUGGAGAUAAGCAAUUUUCUUGUGUGUUGGAACUCAAGUUGUUUAUGAUCUAAACUUAGUAUUUAUGUGACUGGACUGAUGCUGCAUGGUAGCUGAAGUAACACUGUGGGUCAGAUCACUCUUUCCCUUGCUUACGCGCUGACUUGCGUGCUAGUGGCCAGCACUAACAGGAAACCACAGCUGCUCUUGUUCACUGCACUGACAGCUGCCUGAAGAACUAAAACAAACCAAAUGGGGUACAGGAAAUGAGAUGGCUGAAUACAGAUGACUGGUGAAAAGUACUCUGGCCGUUCCUACUUAAAAUAAUGAAUCUUUGUAAAUAAUUUUAUCAGGUUCUAUGGAGGGUUUAAAACUGGUUACACUGCUUUUCAUGUGGUUCCUGAUGGAUGUUUUCAUUAAUAGGUCAGUUUCAGAGAACAGAUUGGUGAAAAUAACCUAUGUGCAAGUAUGAAUAAGCUUAUUGAGUUCCUACCUGCUUAGUAGCAUGGAAGUGAUUCCACGUUUGUUAGGCAGCAUUUGCUGUGGGCGUAAAGCUAUGAAGUGGUUUUAAAACUUUGUAAAGCCUUUUCAUGUUAACCAACUGUCCAAUAAGUCUGUUAUCAAUGAAACCAAAUGAAUCAGAGCUGGGAAACAGCCUAACCUUUUGUUUAUGCUCACUCAAAUUGCCUUCAAGAAGUCUCAAUGGAUUCCUCAGUUCUGAAAGGCUUUAACACCUUCUUUAAUUCCAGACUAGAUUUAGGCUGGCUUUCACUUACAUAGGGAUUUUGAAAAACUUUGCACACGUAACUUCAAAGUUCACCACUGUCUGUAUAUAGACAGAUGAUUCUUACUUGUUGGCUCAGCUGACUUGGAGGUGAAUGAAUCUGAUUUCCUGGGUGGUGCUGCUUUGGCUGAUCAGUGGAAGGAACUAUUCUGCAUUACGAAACUUUCCUAUCUUCUGGUUUUUGCUGCUUUUUUUCUGCCUAUCAGGAUUUAUCCUCCUCAACUGACUUAACGAUUUCAUGUUAAUGAGCUUCUUACUGCAUAAGAUGACAUUUUUUUCAUGCUAUCCUUGCCGCAGUUCUCCAAUUCCUGAGGUCCAAGGGUGAUGCUAAUCUCAGUGCCCAGUCACCAAAUAACCUGUUGUACACAUUACCUUGCCUAAAACUGUAUACACACAUCAUGAUGGUAACCUUAAUUGCAAAAGAAGCAGCUUUACAUGCAAGAGUUGGACCAGUGCAACCCCACGCGUUGUCUUAGCUACCGUGACACUGUUUAUUGUCCUUUGUAAGUGGGGGAAAUAAGAACUAGUGCUAUAAGGUAUCAUCACUUCAGCAGAGCUCUGUUUAUCCUGGGGUUGUAUUGGUGGCUUUGCUUUUUUAAGUCAUGCAUGGAUGAAAAUUCUGAGAUUGUGUCUUUGGCCCAGGGGUUUUAGAGGGUAAGACAUGGAAAUGUGCCCAAGGGACCAUCCAACAGAUGGAACUGUACCACAGACCAUCUGUAACUUGAAAUAAACCAUGGAAACUGAUUUACCUUCACAGGAAUAUGAGAGUUUUACAGGAAAAAAGGUAAUUAGCCUAACGGUGAUAACGAGACUUGCUGACGAGCUGAUAUGAGUACCUUAUUUUCAUAGGUUUCUUUUUCUUACUGUAGAGCAUGCCUAACUUUACAAAUAGUGCAACAGUGGCUAUAUAUUUAAAUUACAAAUUGAAAAUAAAGGAGAAGGAACGGG